GUGCUCACCUCGGCAGCACAUAUACUAAAAUUGGAACGAUGCAGAGAAGGUUAGCAUGGCACCUGCACAAGGAUGACAAAAUGUCAAAGAAGCCACCAAACAAACUA
rfam:Cavia porcellus supercont2_109 genomic scaffold, whole genome shotgun sequence.